rnacentral:rRNA from 1 species
UACGAAGGGGGCUAGCGUUGCUCGGAAUCACUGGGCGUAAAGGGUGCGUAGGCGGGUCUUUAAGUCAGGGGUGAAAUCCUGGAGCUCAACCUCGGAACUGCCUUCGAUACUGCGGGUCUCGAGUCCGGGAGAGGUGAGUGGAAUUCCUAGUGUAGAGGUGAAAUUCGUAGAUAUUAGGAAGAACACCAGUGGCGAAGGCGGCUCACUGGCCCGGUACUGACGCUGAGGCGCGAAAGCGUGGGGAGCAAACAGG